ensembl:lncRNA
CCACGUGAUCACCAGGAAGACAGGAUAUAUUCCACCAGCGUGCUCAAUAAGAUAAGUUUAUAAAAUAUAUAGAUUAAUAGUUAUGGGUGAUACUUAAGACAGAGUUAGCAAAUAAAUCUUUGUCAUUGGCCAGAGGCACUGUACCUAAUAUAAGACUCAGUGUGUUAUUCUGGACGCCCACGUGGCGGCGGGGCUCGGGUGACGUAGCAGAAAGAUUUAUCAUUACCAAAUGGUGUCAGGACAUGGUUUUAUGAACUUCCACAUAAAAACUUCACAAAAACUUAAAAAGGGAAUUUAGAAGCAAAGGAACAGAGACAAGCACUACUUCUUGGUAGUGGUAUUUUCUCGGGUAGUCUCUGUUUUGCUAGAGACAAGCAGAUACUCAAGUGGCUCCUUUAAGAGAGGCUUCCUGACUCAGCAUAAUUGGAAAAAAAAGAAAACAAAAACAAAAAACCACAGGGCUCUUGCUAACAAUUGAAUGGUAUGUAUGAGCAGCUGGCAGUGGCAGCAACCACAUCUCCAAGCCGAAAGCGUGUUCCUUGAUGACAGCAUAGACCAAGGCAGUGAGCAUAGCUCUCAGUGCUGGCGGUAAACAUACCUUCGCCAUCUUGGAAAGACAUCCACUAAAGCAGCCACUGCUUUAAUUUUAGCAAUGCUGUUUAGCAGAUAAAAGAUCGUGUAGCCAGAAAAAGGUAAAGAUUUACAGUAAAGACAGAUUCAGAUGAAGAAAAACUCCUAAAGGUUUACAGUGUAUUUAAAAAUAUAUGUAGGCUUGUGAGAGAAAAGAACAGGAUAAAGUAAUUGAGAGAGAGAGAGAGAGAGAGAGAGAAGAGAGAGAGAGAGAGAAAGAGAAGCCAGUGGUGGUGGCACACGCCAGUAGGAUUUGCUGAAGGAAGCAGAGGCAGGCGGAUUUCCACGGAGAAACCUUGUCUCAGGGGGGGGAAAAAAAGGAAGUAAAAGAAAUAGAAUAUUAAAAAGCCAGGUAAAGAUGGAAAAUACUCACAGAGUCUGGAUACUAUAUGUUAUACUGUUGUCUUUAAAUUGUUUGAUUGCCGAGGAAAGAGCUACAGCUGAUAAAACACAUUUGAUUAUAAGUGCUACUCAAUUAGUCCAACUUAUAUAUUUUUAAAAUGCUUUGACUUCUAAAUUUAAAUAUAAGGACAGGUUACUUGGGAGAAGAAUUUCUACUUACGUUUCCACAUAAAAUGGAAAGCUGUGGAUUCCUUCCAGACUAAUUUGGUUUGAUCAAGCAAGACCCCCUGAAGCAGUGGCCCAACCGAUCCUACAUCCAAAACAGCUGAGACGAUGCAGCCUUGCAGACUACAAAAACAAGGAACUGGCCUGAUUUCUGUGUUUUAUCAUGAUCCCCCAUGGUGUGGACAUCACCCCCAACCAGCAGGAAGCAGUUUGGAACGAACGAUGCCCAAGUUCCCAAAUAUUGUUUAUAAAUGUUUGUUUUCAUUUAAAUAGGGUUGGUUAUAAAUGGUAAUGAUCACAGUCAAUCUCUUUUUAAAGGAAAAAAGGGGAAUAGAAUAUAGAAAUGAAUACAUUGGUAUGGAUUUUCAUUUAUUGAUACAAAUUUAAGGUUAAUUUUGUUAUAUGUAAAUUUCUCCUCUUGUUUGGUAUUGUGUUUAUACAGAUCUUUUAAAAUGUAAUGUAUAAUUAAAUGCAAAUUAUAUAGUCACCUAUAAUAGUCAGAACUUAUAAUUAGGUUAGUUAGGUUUUCUAGCUAUAGAGAGAUGUGUUUGAGAUGGAUAGACAAAGACCUACAGAAUAUAUGGCAUUUAAAUGGUUUAGGGUUUUUCAUGGCAGUGAGACACAACUGCUCCUGGCACACCAAUUACAUCUGAGAGGAAGAUGGGCAUUGAAGAAACUCAUUAUGGAGUUUGCUUUCAAUGUGGCAAGAUUAGCCAUUUGGGCAAGAAACUGCUCUUGUCUGGACUGUUUGAUAAACUGGACAUGCAGGACCCACAGGAAAGUGACUGCUGAACUUAGAAAACAAGAUGGAAAGUUGUGAAGAGUCCCUGCUUCAAGGAAGCAUCUGCCAGACAUUCUGCAGGACACAGAGGAAAUUGGCUGACAAACUGCCAAUACAGGUGGACAGUUUAAAAUUUCCUGCUUCACUGAGAAGUCUGCCAGACAUACUGUGGCCUAUAGACUGAAGACAGGAUAAAUUCCAUCAGUGUGCCCCAACGUUACAAAGGAACUUCGGGUCACUGUCCAGGCAGCGAGAUAUCUCUGUCAGUUCUAGAGUUUAUUUAUUAUCCUUCUGUGGUCUUUGUUGGAGUUGAAGACAGAUAGUUAUGGUUAUAGUUUUCUUUAGUUAUUAUAAAAGAUAAGCUACAUAUAAGACUUUAGACUCACAAAGAUGGGAUAGAUGAUAGAAUAUUUUCUUUAAAUCUUGCUAAAUGUUAAUGGACUAAAUAUUGUAACUAUAGUUCUUACUUGAUAACUGUUUUGUUAUAUAUUUUACUAUGUUAAUGUUAACACCCUUCUUUUUACUUAGACAGAAAAGAGAAAAUUAUGGGGGAGGUCCUUGUGUGUAUAUGUUUGUCUUAUUGGUUGAUAAAUAAAGCACUGUUGGCCAAUAGGAGAGCAAGUUAGGUGGGACUAGGAGUUGAGGAGGAUUCUGGGAAAUGUAGUAGAGACAGCAGCCACCAUGUGAUCACCAGGAAGACAGGAUAUAUUCCACCAGUGUGCUCAAUAAAAUAAGUUUAUAAAAUAUAUAGAUUAAUAGUUAUGGGUGAUACUUAAGACAGAGCUAGCAAAUAGGAAAUCUUAGUCAUUGGCCAGUAGCAUUGUACCUAAUACAAGACUCUGUGUGUUAUUUUGGACACCCACAUGGCGGCAGGGCUUGGGCAGCUUGGCAGAAAGAUUUAUCAUUACAAUUCCGUCUUACAGCAUACUGUCCAUCAUCCAGGGAAGCUAAGGCAAACCCAGAGGCAAGAACAGAAGCAGAGGCCAUGGAGGAUAAUGCUCACUGGCUGCCUCAGCUUGUUCACUUAUACAAGCCAGGGCCACCUGCCAGGGGUCACACUAUCCACAUCAAUCAUUAAUCAAGAAAAUGCCCCCCUCAGACUUGCUCACUGGCCAAUCUGAUGGAGGCAACCCCUCAAGGAAGGGGUCCACUUUCCCAGGCAUCAGGUUGAAAAAACCAACCAGCACACACAGGCUAUCAAAUGCAUGGCUAAUUCUACAUGAGAAGUCCACCAACUAUAUGUUAAGAGUUGUCUUUGUCAUGGUCUGUGGUUUAGAGCACUUAAUUGCUCUUGCAGAGGGCCCAAGUUCGAGUCCCAGCACCCACAUGGUGGCUCAAAACUGUCUGCAACUCCAGUUCCAAGGGAUCCAGUGCCCUCCCCUGACCUCUGUGAGCAGCAGGUGUCUGGAAGCCACAGUCUUCAGGGUAAACGAAGCACAUUAUUCUACGUUUUCCUGUAACUGAACUCACCCACUAUCCGAAGGAGGCUCUGUGCCAAAAU